rnacentral:lncRNA from 1 species
UAUAUACAGAAGAUCAUGUUAGCAAACAUUAAGUAAAUAUUUCAACAGUUUGUUCCAACACAGAAACAUAAAGUGAAAAAUACUGUUUUGAGUAAGUAGUUAUAGCAUUAAAUCUCAAGGUACAGCACUCUAAGGACAUUUUUUGUGACCCCUAAACCUGCUCUAAAAAGAACAGUCUUUUAAAGAGGAGGAGGAGGAGGAGGAGAAAGGAAAGGAGAAGGAGUGUGAGGGAGAGUAGUAGUAGUAGUAAUAUGUUAAUAUUUCUCAAGGCGUAAUUUCAGAGAGUUGAUGCCAAUGCACCUGACCACUUUCACCCCUCCCCCUUAGCAGACUAAUCAAUUGCUUCUUUCUAUGUGUUCCUAUUGGGUAUAUAUCCUAUGUAUUUUAUAGUUUAUAUCACAUUUUAUUAAAGUUAUUUUCAGGUCUCACUUCCUGACUAUGAAUUGCUCAAGGGCAGAGGUAGUGUUUUAUUUUGUUGAUAUUUCUACAGUACUGGAAAUACCAUAUGGUUGAGUGGAUAAUUAUUUGCUGUGUAAACGUAUGAAGGACAUCCUUCAGCCAUUUUCAAAGGUAGUUUUAAAGGAUCUUGCUUCAGAAUCUGUUCUUCUUCAGGCUUUAGAGGACUGUGAAAAUAGCUUCCUCCAAGUGGUUCAUCCCAAGAACAGUGGUCAACACAAGAGUGAGACAGCAUUGAAGAAUAUUCCCGGGAAAUUCAGAACAUCUGAGAAUUCUAAAAAAGGCAAUCUAAUGAAGAAAGAAGGUAAUAUGCAUGAGUAUCUGGGGGUGCUAGAAUGGAAGAGGCAGCCAGGAAUGAAGAGCUCCUUCAUUUUGUGAGGAAUAUUUUAGAUGUAAGUACCAGCAUGUAUAACUCAGUGAUAAAGAGCUGUUGACUUGGGUAUCUGAAAAAGCCUAGGAGUAAUAAUGACCUUGGGCAGCAGGAGUUAUUCUGGCCUGAUGAUGCCAUCAGGAUUCAUUUUUUAGCAUUCAUUGGCUCUAUCUUUAGACUAGCUUCACUGUAAGCCUUUGUGACUAGCAGAUUCAUAGUUAUUUCCUUCAAGCUUCAACCCAGGUAAAAAUGUGUUGCCUCUUUCUUUAGUUCCUUUAAAUAGACCUAUGUAGGCUCACAUACACAUUUCUAACCAUGGAUAAUCUUUUUAGACAAAUUUCAGUUUCAUAGCAUUCUUAAAUAAGAGUAUUAGGAAAAGACAACUCUACUUGUACAUGAUCUGAAACUGAGAAUGGAGUUAAUUACCUGAAGGGCAAUACAGGGAAUAUUUACAAAAGGUCAGUGAGGGCUGGGCAACCAAAUGUAAACAAAACAGAUAUUUUCUGGGUGCUCUCUCACUGUUCCACUUCUAUGUUCUUGUCCAGUAUAAUGACAUUGAAGCCUAUAGUUGCAGGAAGAAUCCUGAUCAUGUGAAACUUUUGGGAGAGAAAAUAUAUUGAGAGGGACUUAUGGAUUUGAAGUGGAGAGAAUCAAUUGGAGGCCCCCUCAACCAGGUAGACAGACCAUCUAAUAACCUGGCCUCUCUUUGUCUACUCCUCACUUUAGAGCAUUUAGCCUCCAUUCCAGUUUAGUUACCCUAAUGAUCUAGAAAUUAUCAACAGGUAUGUCUGCCUUCUAAAGAAAUUCAGUUUGACACUCUACCCAUACCUUCUAGUCUAUGCUCUCCUGUGCCAGUGAUAAGUCUAAUCAGGAACUAUAAGCCACUUAAAAUUUUCUCCCUGGCAAUCCAACAACCUUUUAUCUUAAUUUCCUCCCCUUCAAAGAUAAUUUUAUUUUUUUAACUUUUAUUUAAUGAAUAUAAAUUUCCAAAGUACAGCUUAU